UAGAGAAAGCUCAGCGGUACCAAGGGUGCCUUAUAUUUUGACUUUACAUUGUUUAUUUACUGUCACAGUUUCCACAGUACGUACUAAUUGGUGUCAUGGGUCCCACCGGUAUUACUCUCACUUUACCUAUUCUGUAGUCUUCUGAACUUCUCCGUUCUUCUUUCCUCACGCAAGUGAGAACGUUCUUGGCCGAUCCCCUUUCUCCUCUCAUCUUGCUUUUUCUUCUUAGUUAAAAUUUGCUGAUGUUUGAUAGCUCCUAUCAGGUUGCUCUCUUGAUUCGCUGCAAUCAGGAUGCUCGUCCGAACCUGAAGCCACCCUCGCACAUGGUGCUUCAACAGGGUGACUAUCAACGUCGAUUGAGGGUUAGCAGGGCCCAAGGAUCUGCUGCACCAUGGAGGAGGCGAGAGCAUCAAUCUGGACGCUGUCGUUGAUAUUGUCGUCCGUGUAGUUGAUUUCUUCGUGGAUUUCAUCUCCCACAAGCCUGCAACGGCAACAUUGCUCCAAGUUCAACGGCAGGAAAUGGUAAACUGUUCAGAAAUUCCGUUGGAUAUAACAAUUCUGUUUCUGCAUUGAAGGUAGUUGCUUUGCAUACUGUUUCACAGCUUAGAUAAGUUCUCUCAUCACCUUGUAUCUGAUCCAUUAUAUACUCGUUCAUAUCGCGAACUAUUUCAUUUCUUGGACAUAAUAUUGCUCUUUCUUCUAAGUAUUCUCGCUGGCGACACCUCUCCUGCAAAUUAGGAUAUAUGUUCUCUACAAUUGUUUUUUGGCAAUUCCUUUCUUGAGAAGCAUGCCAUUUGAUAUUUUUAUCAAUUCCUCACCUUCUGAUGAUGUAUUUUUUCCAUCACUGAUAUUGAGAAUUCACUCUGCAAAUUCUGCUACCCUUUGUUUCUCCGAUUCAUCAUUUGUUGUGUUGUUCAGCUGCAUGUUCUUUGUUAGCUUCAUUAAAUGAAAGUUCUUCCAAAGAUAAGAUCUUUUAAUGGAUACAAUGACUAUGGUGUGUCUGCUUCCCUAGGAAGGAUCUGGCGGAAGUCCCCUCCUAGAACCAUUUUCAAUCCACCGAGUGGUCUCUCACUGUUGUUCACAUUUUUGUCUUAAUAUAUCCCUUAAGAGACCUAUCUAGUGCCUCAAGCUUCAUCCCAUAGUAUUAGCGACGUCUUUUUUAGUAGGUCUGCCAAGUGUGAACCUUGUUUGAUGUCACAUGUUGACUCUUCUGUAAGGAUUAGGGGGAUGUGGAACCUCGAGUGUGUCAUUCACCCUCCUUGUAGAAGCAGUGUUGCAAUACCAGAUGAUGCCGCUGCUAGUACUAUCUUGCCUUGAGAACACAACUUUGUUGUGAACGCAGCUUUUCAAUAGAGAAGUUACAAUUUUUAUGAUCAAGGUUAGGGGGGAAACUUUCUUUUAAGGUCAGUAUAUCGCAGUUCUAAAAUUCCCCUCAAUGUUUUUCUGUUGUAGAAAAUUUGCUCUUCAAUCGUUCCUUGGGUGCUUUCGUCGAUUCCAAUCAUUGUUGGAAUAACAUCGCUUUUGUAAUGCCUAUAAUAGAUUACAAUAGGAGCACAUAUACUUGUAACUUCAAAAACAUACAUAAUUGCAUUAUUAUAUACAUACCUCUCAAUAAUUUGGUCUGUCUCUGGAAUUUCAGGAGACUUUAGAUGCAUUUGUUGUGCGUAGUAAAUUGUCAGUAAUUUGGGUUCGGGUUUACAGAUAGAGAUUAUAGUUCUCACCACUGAAUUUUGUGACCAAAUUGUAAGUGGCAAUCACUAUUGUAUGUUUGUGAAGAAGACUUUCAUUCACCAUAUUUGUUAAAAUAUCCCCGUAGCGUGAUCUGGAUCUUCUCACCACUGCAUGAAUUUAAUCAUGAAAAGUGAUAUAAAGAUCAUUUGUGUAAUUCAAAAAUAGUUACAGUAAUAUAAUCACUUUAGCAAAAGGACUUCAGUCUCACAGAUGUUUGAUGUUUGCGCCAUGCCCAUCCCUUUAUGUUUUUGCACUUGCUUUAUUGGCUUCAUUGUAGUAAGCAAUCCAGCGACAUCUGCACAUAAUCAUAUUUAAAAAUCUAGUUCACCGAUGCUUGUUCUUCGAAAUGGAUUUUGAUCAAACCUAAGAACUGUUUAUCAAUAUUCACCCUACUCUCCAAGGUAUCACCAUCAGCAAAUUCAAAGUGGUAGUCCAAAAACUUGGAUUUUCCUUCAUCCACUUACUUCACCAUUGUAUCAUAAACAAAACUGAUUUUGAGAUUGUUCUUCUAUGGUCAAUAUUUUUCAUACUCCCAGACUUUGAAGGUCUUAUUUAUGUAUAUGGAGUCAUCUUUAAUUUUUGAUUUAAAUUUAUUGACCAGUUUGCUCCCAAUAGAAGCAUGGAUCGCAUAACCCUACAUAGAGAGAAAACAUUACUACCUCUCUCUCAGUUUACAAGGCGUGCGCGUACCGCUAGGUCGUCAAUUUGACCAACCUAAUACAAGUCAUACUAGAACAUGUAGGCGCGCUUCGCCGCGCCCGUCCAUAUUGACAUUGAAUAAUAAAACUAUCUUAAAAUAAGAGUGAAGUGCAUCAUAGGUUCUCAAACUAUUUCAGACGUGUCACGUAGGUCCUCAAACUAUGAAAAUCAUCAUCUAGAUCUUCAAAGUGCAAUAUGUGUGUCAUCCUGGUCCUCAAACUAUUUCAAAGGAGUCAUGUACGUCAUUGAACUAUUUCAGAAGUGUCACAUAUAUACACACUUAUUACACUUCAAAGAUUUAUGAGGACCUGGAUGACACUUUUCAUAGUUUGAAGACCUACGUGACACCUUCAAAAUAGUUCAAGGUCCUAGGAUGCACUUUACUUUUAAAAUAAUCCCAGCAGUAUUUGAGAAAUUUUGAAUAUGCGAGAGAUAUUUUCAAGAUAAUUGUUAAAGGUGUUAAGCUUUACCAGUAAAUUUUGGUAGGUGCGUCUCAGUGAUGCAGUGAGACCAUAACAAAAUUAGCCUUUUGGAUCUAACUCCCAGUAAACAAAAUAGAUCAACUGUAAACAAUAUUUUGAAUUGACUCAAGUGAAGCUUUAAUCCUCACAGCGUGUCAGGUACACAUAAAAACGUCAGACCCAAAAGUCAUUCUAUGGAUUUUAUUUAUGACGUGGCGACCAUGAUUUGAGCAGUAAAAGAUCUCACAACUGAUGGACUAUUGUUUUAGACAGCCCGGGACGCAUGGUGAUAGUGCAUAGAUUAUCAAACUGGACCUUGUCAAAUUGUUAUAGGAAUGGAAAGUUAGCUUUAUCAAUUUCAUGUCAUCUGGUGAAGUAAACCUAAUAAUAGGUUCACAUGCACAUCUUGGGCAACUCCUUAAGCUGAAAAUUACAACUUCUCUUGAAAUCACUAAACAUAUUUAAUAGACUGCCUGCCUUAUUAUACAUUAUCAAAUUAAGAAAAAUGGCUUCGGCUUCACCGACCGCUUGCAAUACUUGCCUGCAAGUCUCAAAAGCUUAAAAACCAUACAUCAGGAAGUGUCAGCACAGUGCGACAAGCAAUCUUAACAAACUAAAUCCUAAAUCUUGAAAAAGGAACCCAAGAUUGCUAGAACAUGGGCACUCACCCUGCGCUCCACUUGCCAUGUAAUACUUUCACGAGCACUUAUGGCUCGGCAACAUGAACGUUGACUUUCAGAAAUUAAUAGUGAACUUGAACUCUUCAGAAAGGGAAAAAUAGUUCCAGAGAUUAAUUGCACGCACAAUAUGUUCGAGAAUGACACAUCAAAAUCUGAAAAAAGAAGCUAUGAUAGGAAACAAAACUUGUUUUAGUCACAGUGUAAGCAAAGAGCAGUCUGCAAGUGAACUUUUCAUUUAUCAGAGUCCAACAAAUAAAAAAAAGAUGUGUCACAAAAAAGAUAAAUCCACAACUCAUCAGCAGUUGAACACACAAUACUCGUGCCAAGAUGAUUUAAAUUAGACACAAAUCUCACACAAUCAAAAUCAAAUGGCAUUCUCAAAGCUAUGCAUAUUCACAAUUUCUAUACCGAUUCUUGACCUUCCUCAGAAGGAUCUUCUCACAUGGGAAUUAAAACGAAAAUCAUUGUUCCAUCAAUAAAAAGAAAUUUGAAGUUUGACAAAGAACAUGCAGAACACAAAGAACAAUCAGAAGGAGAAGGAGCAAUCACAAGGAGAGAGGGUGGGACUAUAUCCCUGCGCCCACUUCACUCGGAACAACAAACGCGGUGAGAAGGAACAGGAGGCAGAAGCAGCUAGCACCUCCAUCGCCACCCCGAAGCCAUCCAAGCAGUUUGACUUCAGCGAUUUCCAACAGUUUCUGCAACAACAAGCAUCCUAAAAUUACAUUAUGUAGCUGCUACCCUACCAGGCCAUUAUUCCGCCGCCGCCGCCGCCGCCACCAGAUGAUGAGCGUACACAGCUUCGGGAUAAAUCGAUUGAUCGAUCGAAAAAGAGAGAGCACAGGGCACGCCUCGUUUACCAUUCACGAGUGGUGGCCUGGUCGGCCCGAUUAAGGAGAGAGGGCCUAGGUCAACCUGCAGAGUAGCGGCCCGAUUACGGGGUGAAAACAUGGAGACGGGAGUGGUAGGAUGGACCGAGAGAUCUGGACCGUUCUUAAGUGUAAUCGAACGGUUAAGGACGCCAAAUCACUGUAGGAGCUCAUAGGUAGCUUUGUUUUACUGUUUUGUAAUAUUACAAAAAGUAUAUCAAUAUAAACUUUAGAUGUUCUAUUUUCAAAAGAUAUAUUUUUUGUGUUAUAUAGUUUAUAUUAAGGUGAUUAAAUUGACAACCUAGGUAUAUGCGUAGGACUUAUAAACUGAAACGGAGGUAGUAGCAAACUUUGGAAAGGGUAAAUUAAAGAGACAUUAUAUAUGUAAUACUUGCACCUUUUUAUCUAAUAACAUCAUAUCAGCACUGAUGAGUUCAUUAGUCAAUAAGUUAAUUGCAUCCCAAAGUCUUAAAACUUUGACUUUGAUUGUCCAUGUCUCGUUUCCUGUAGUCAAUGCAUUCAACGGUGUGUGUGCCACAAUCUUUGAGGCCCUAAAACUAUAAGAACAUAAUGUUGAUUAGUAAAGUAAGUAAUAUAAUGACAUGCAUGCUCUAUAAAUACAAAAUAUUUCUGGUGCUUUUAGAUUAGCACUGCCUAAAAUGUAAUACAAGUAUUAUUGAUCCAUUAAUAGGUUUGAUCUAUAAUAAUAGUUCUAAUCUAUAAUAUGAACACCAUCUGAUGUGCGAUAUAUGUUUAUCUAUAUCGCAGCAAGCCAUCCCAUUUCCUUCUAUUAUAGCUGUAAGAUUCUAGACUUCUAUUGUAUAUUAUCUUAGGGUGAAAACACUGGAAGAAACAUCCAUGGCAUUAGCCUUCUGUAGAUGAGUCUGUAUGAAAUCAUAGUAGAUGAAUCGAUACAAUUUUAUUGACAGUUGGUCUUAAUUUUUUUUAGAUGGAGCUGCUGGCAUUAUGACAGGAACCCACUUUAGCAUCUAAGGUUGACCAAAUAAGGAAACCAUCUAUAUGGAGCUGUUGGCAUUAUGACAGGAAACAACUAUAGCGUAUGAGGUUGAUCAAACAUGGAAACCAUCUAUAUGGAACUUACUUGAUGUUGCCUGAUUGCUCGACGGAGCUGUCCUAUGGCCGCUGGAGGAAGACAAUUCCGAAGUGCUAAUUCUGAAGUUGAUCUCGAAGUUUUGGUCGCUGGAGGAAGAUGAUUAUAAUUUAUAACCUAAAAUCUAGAGGACAAUGAAACUAUGAGGUCGUGGGGAAGGUCUUAUAUGGAUGGCUAAGUUUCUCAUGUUUGCACGAUGGAAAGAAAGGUUUUUUGGAUUCUAUCUGGACGUAUAUUCUGUUUGGAGAGAUAUGAUAAUUUGGAUUUGUUUAGGGACAUUGGAACUUUUUUCUAGGAUGGCCCCAUCGCUCAUGGCAUGGUCCAUCCUGUAUGCAUGUAAUGGCCCAACUUGUGUGCGUUUUUUUCUAAAUGAUGCAUGAUGCAUGCGUGUUUCUGAUCCA